GCCGACGAAGAAGAAGAGUCCUCAACAGCAACAAUGGUUGAGAAGUCGAACAAAGCCAGAAAAGAGGAGAUUGUCACCAGAGAGUACACCAUCAACCUCCACAAGCGUCUCCAUGGAUGGUACUUUAUCUUUCUCCAUUUCAGUAUAUGUUGGAUCUGUAGUGUAGAACGUUGAUUUCUGGAAUUUGAUAUGGUUGUGUAUGUGCUUGUUUGUUUUUUAACUUAAUCGAGUGGUUCUUUCGUGGUGUUUAUGAAGUGAAGCGUUGAUUUGCUAAAAUCGACGAUUUUCUUUGUUGAAAUCGACUUGGGAGCCGUGUGUCGGCGAUUCUUUUUAAUCCUGAAGUUUAUGGAAUCUUUGGCGGUUUGCUUAUUUACUAGAGGUUUAUCCGUUGAUUUUGCUGGCAAGGAAAAUUUGUUUCUGCAUGAGAAAAUCAUAUUUCAGUAUUUGGCGCGUUAUUUUGGUUUGGUUUGAUUUGAUUUGAUUUUAGUUUGGUUUUGGAAUGUAAUUGAAACGGAUAACAUGCAAUGGGGAUGAUUGGAAAAUGCUUUUCUUAACAGAUGUUACACAGGAGAAUGUUCCAAAUAUGAUGUAAAAAUGGAAAUUUUGGAAGAAUGGUGGUUGCUUAGAGUGAAUCUGUGAAAGUAAAGACUGAGUCCGACAUACUGUUAGGAAGUAUCUCAUAAGUCUAAAAAAAUUAUUUCUAAUUAUUGUCUUUUUGAUUCAAAAUAAAUAAUAAAUGGGUAGAGAGGAAAAUCUCAGAUACGGGGAUUUGUGGUUGUAUGCUUGCUGGUGAAGGGCAGUGGUAGAAUUCCCAAAAUUUUGCAAAGACUGUUAAGUUGGAAUGAGCUUUGAAUAAAAAUUUAAUUUUUUUUCUAGGAGGUUUUUAUAUUUUACCCUUGUUGUGGUGGUGGAAGGAAAUUGAGGAGUAUUCAUGAAGGGCAUGGUCAAAUGUGUCAGUAUAGUUGAAUGUUUUUGCAUAUGUAGGGGUAUAAAGCCAUCUCUAAAAUGGGGUCAUUGAUUGAAGUUGGAACCCUUUCUAGAACCAGUGGCAAUUUAGGAUUUCAUGAAAAUGUUUCACCAAUAUUUCUGUUGAAUUUCAGUUUUUUAAAGUUGUAUUAAAAUAUCACAAUGUUGUAAUUCAUAUGCUAGAGUACAUCUGAAGGAGUCCACGCUGCUGUAAUAUGCGAAUGACAUACACCUACCCAUUACCUGUUGUAUCAUCUGUUUCAAGGGACUUGAUUGCCUCUACUGAGCUUAUGCUUUUGUAAUUGUUCAUUUAUAUUUAAUUAAUUGUUCUUCAUUGUCGUUCUCUUGUUGUGAUCUUAGUGCUAUGAGACAUUCCCUAGCUUUUGGGAGUAGCAGGAUAAGAAUGGUAGUACUAUUAUUAGAGAUAAAUAUAUUCUAGACAUAGGUGCAUAUAAAUUUUAUUGGUGUCUUGUGCUGUUACUUUGAUUUGAUAUAUAUAUUUUUUACUGCUUGUUUUUUUAAAUCUAUACCAUCCUUUAGGAAAUACUUGAUUUCAUACCAUUUAUUGAGCAUAACAAUUAUAAGUCCAUGCAUGUAUGCAAAGAUCACCUAUGAUUGUUGUUCAUCCUGCAUCUCUCUCCAUUUAUGCAUCUAAUCUCAUCUAAUUCUUCUAAACCUCUAGGCCAUUUUCCCCACAAAGUUCAUGGUCCUCACUCCAUUACAAAAAUGAUCCUUUACCUCCCCACCAUUUUUUAUUUAUUUUUUUUGGCUUUUCUAUGGUAAUCAUAGAAUGCCUAAAAAAUUUGUUCAUACCAUCUGUUAUAGUAGGAGCAGAAAUGCGCUGAUUCAGCAACAUGAUUAGCUUCAAAUUUCAUGUCCCACUGAUUCAGCGACACGAAGCGUAACCUAAAAGAUAAGUAUAACAAUGCAUCUGCUUUCUCAUCUUCCAAAUCUCCUAAUGCUGCUACCUUCUUAUGUAACUGCUUCUGUAAUUGUUUGAGGAAAAAAUGCUUGUAAUUGAAUGUUAAAUGCCCAACAUUAUGAAUUCUGUAAGAGUUAUUUCUUGUGUUCCCUUUGUCAUUGGAGCUAUAGGAUCAGUGAAUUACCAUCUGUGUCGUUUUUGUGCACAAAUAGGAUUGGUGAAUUACCAUCUGCAUCAAUUAUGUGGAACACAUUUACACUAAUCUAAAACUUGGGCAGCUUACUUGAAGCUUUUAUGAAGGUUUCUUGUCUUAGCCCAAACUUGAGGUUCAUCCCAUAUAAACUGGUUGCAUGUGUUAAUUUGAGCAUUCUAAAUUUGUUGAGUUAGACUGACUAACAACCCUGUUGUAUUUUUUAUGUUCCCGCUGGAGGGUUCACAACAUGUUUUUUAUUUGAAGAUUUACAUAAUUCAUAACUGCAGUAUUCUUGUUGAUUUUUGGGACUUUAGCCUUUCAGCUAAUCUAAUCCAUUGUAGCCACCUAAAUACAAAUUCCUUGUGCUCCAAUUUCAAUGUGCAGCACAUUCAAGAAGAAGGCUCCAAAGGCCAUAAAGGAAAUCAGGAAGUUUGCCCAGAAGGCUAUGGGAACAACCGAUGUCAGAGUCGAUGUUAAGCUAAACAAGCACAUCUGGAGCCGUGGGAUCCGAAGUGUUCCAAGGAGAAUCCGUGUCCGCAUUGCAAGAAAAAGAAAUGACGAAGAAGAUGCCAAGGAGGAGCUUUUCUCGCUGGUCACCGUUGCAGAGGUCCCACCAGAGGGAUUGAAGGGCUUGGAAACUAAGAUCAUCGAUGAUGAGGAUUGAACCAACCAUGCCUCCCUGCCUUAAUUAGGUACUCCAGUUUUGGGUUUUAUGUUUUUCCGAUCUUAAUUCAGAAAAUGUUUUUGGUUGGUUUUGGAUUCUCUGUGGAAUUUCUCCCUAAUUAGAGUUGUUUAUCCCAUUUAUGCAUUCAGUUUGUGUUAGAAACAUGUGUGAACUGAAUUUUAUUUACAUCCCUUGCGGCUAU
rnacentral:lncRNA from 1 species